GGGGGGGAUCAGAGGGGGCUGGUCUGGCAGUCUAUUGCCCACUCUAUGACAUUCCUUGUGUCCACCUCUGGUGAUGGCUAUCUAGAUGUUUUAUGGUCUAAGCCUGGUGCCAGAUCAAAGACCACAAUAAAUGUCAUCCCAAGGUUUACAAAAAAAAACAACUCUUAACAUAAAUAAAACACACAUCAAACACCAACUCAUGCUUUUGGCAUGACAGGUAUCAAUAUCCUUCUGAAUAUACGGUCUCCAGUACUGUGUACAAUACUCCAAGUGAGGUCUCACCAGUGUUCUGUACAAUGGCAUGAGCACUUCCCUCUUUCUACUGCUAAUACCUCUCCCUAUACAACCAAGCAUUCUGCUAGCAUUUCCUGCUGCUCUAUUACAUUGUCUGCCUACCUUUAAGUCAUCAGAAAUAAUCACCCCUAAAUCCCUUUCCUCAGAUGUUGAGGUUAGGACUCUAUCAAACAUUCUGUACUCUGCCCUUGGGUUUUUACGUCCAAGAUGCAUUAUCUUGAACUUAUCCACAUUAAAUGUCAGCCGCCACAACUCUGACCAUUUAUUUAGUUUACUUAAUCAUUUGCCAUUUGGCUUAUCCCUCCUUGAACAUCAACCCUGUUACAUAUCUUAGUAUCAUCAGCAAAAAGACAUAGCUUAUCACUAAUAAAAAUAUUAAAGAGAAUGGGUCCAGAGAAGUACAGAUCUCUGAGGUACCCCACUGGUGACAAGUCCAAGCUUCGAAUAUACUCCAAUGACUACAACCCUCAGUUGGCGGUCACUCUGCCACUGCCUUACCCAUUCAACAAUAGUGAAAUCCAAACGGAAGCCUUCUAUGUGCAACAGUGUCAAAAGACUUACUGAAAUUUAGGUAAGCAAGGUCUAUUUUACCACCCGGAUCUAUUAUUUUAGUUACCCAAUCAAAAAAAAAAAAUCAAUAAGAUUAGUUUGGCAUGAUCUCCCUAAACCCAUGUUGUCUCUGAUCUUGAAAUCCAUGUGAUUUUAGAUGUUCAACAAUCCUAUCCUUUAACAUGGUUUCCAUCACUUUCCCCACUACUGAAGUAAGGCUUACUGGCCUGUAGUUGCCCGACUCCUCCCUACUACUUUUCUUGUGAAUGGGCACAAUAUUCGCUAACUUCCAGUCUUCUGGGACUACUCCUGUUAACAAUGAUUAGUUAAAUAAAUCUGUUAAUGAUUUUGCUAGUACACCACUAAGCUCUUUUAAUAGCUUUGGGUGUAUUCCAUCAGGUCCUUAUUUGUCUUUACUUUUGACAGUUGAAAUAGAACCUCUUCCUCGGUAAACUCACAUGUAAUAAAUUAUUUAUUUGUCCUUUUUCCUAACUGAGGUCCCUUUCCUUCAUUUUCAUCUGUAAAUACAGAACAAAAAUAUUAAUUGAGGCAGUCAGCUAGACCUUUAUCCUCUUCUACAUACCUUCCUUCUUUUGUUUUUAAUCUAACUAAUCCUUGUUUUACUUUUCUUUUCUCAUUUAUGUAUCUAAAAAAUGUUUUAUCCCCCUUUUUUACUGACUGUGCUAUUUUCUCUUCUGUGUGUGAUUUGGAAGCUCUUAUAACUUGCUUAGCCUCUUUCUGCCUAAUCUUAUAGAUCAUUUUGUCUUCCUUACUCUGGUUUUUUUUUUAUAAUUCCUAAAUGCUAACUUUUUGUUUUAACUAUUUUGGCCACAUCUGCGGAGUACCACAGUGGCUUCUUGAAUUUUUUGCUUUUACUGACAAGCCUAAUGCAAUUUUCUGUUGCCUUCAAUAGUGCAAGUUUUAAAUAAUCCCAUUUCUCUUGGACUCCAUUUAAAUUGCUCCAGUCUGAUGAUGACUCCUCUACCCAUAUUCUAAUUUUAGAAAAGUCUGUUUUUCUAAAGUUUAAAACUUUUGUUUUUGUGUGGUGUGACUCAGUCACUGUUCUUAUAUUAAACCACACUGACUAAUGAUCACUGUUUUAGGAAUAUUUCCAAUGAUAAAAUGCACAAUUAAAUACAUGCACUUUUUUUCAAGGCGUAUCAACUAAUAUUUUCUGGGUUUGUUUUUUUGGGGACAGCAGAGUGUCCCUUUAACCGCUUGCAUGGGUGAGGAUCGUGUCAAAAUGUCAUUGCAAAACAAACAGUUACUGAACAAGCCGGAGAACUUCAUGAAGUGUUGGCAAAACCAGAAACAAGAGGCCCAGACAUAAUCCAAUAAGUAACUGAGGUUUGGAUAAGUACACGUGUAUACUUACCUGUAAUUCAACCCUUUGUCAAUCCUCACAAUGGCAGGAAAAUACCAAUACAUAACCUUCAAAACUAUUACCUCCCUAAAUCACACAGACGCCCUUUAUCAGUCACUACUUUCUGCCAGUGACCUUCUUUUGUUCUUUGUUAUUAUUCUUAUUAUUAUUGCCAUUUAUAUAGCACCAACAGAUUCUGUAGCGCUUUACAAUAUUAUGAGAGGGGGGAUGUAACUAUAAAUAGGACAAUUACAAGAAAACUUACAGGAACGAUAGGUUGAAGAGGACCCUGCUCAAACGAGCUUACAGUCUGUAGGAGGUGGGGUGUAAGACACGUUAGGACAGGAAAUAUCAAUCAAAUAAGGUGGGAGUGAAGCAGAGUUGGAGGAGAGCUCUAUCCUAUAGUGCUGCCCUAUAGGAUAGAGCAAGAGACAGGUAUGUGAGGUAGAGGUUACUCUGGGAGGCCAUAAGCUUUCCUAAAGAGAUGGGUUUUAAGGCAACUCAUAAUUCCUUAACCCGGUCUGUCCUGCCUCUCUAACGUUAGUGAAUAACCCUAAAAUAGUUAUUUAAGUAAGAAUUUAAAGGGAGCAGCAAAGUUUACCCUGAAAUAUCUACAUUGGAAAAAUGACCCAACAAAGUUAUGUUAUUGUGGUCUAAGAUGUUACAUUCACUUUAAAUUGCCAACCAUCAACACUUCACUAAAUAACCCUAACAGUGGCACUAUAGCCCAAUUUCUCUUCAUCUUUAAUUGGUUAAACUGACAGUGUCAGCCUCUCUACCUGGUGAUCAAAG
rnacentral:lncRNA from 1 species